ACGAAGGGUGCGAGCGUUAUUCGGAAUCACUGGGCGUAAAGAGUGCGUAGACGGUCCAUUAAGUUUGUUGUUAAAGACUCUAGCCUAACUGGAGGGUUGCAAUGAAAACUGGUGAGCUGGAGGGUGAGAGAGAGAAGUGGAAUUCCUGGAGUAGCGGUAAAAUGCUUGGAUCUCAGGAGGAACACCAAUGGCGAAGGCAGCUUCUUGGCUCAGUCCUGACGUUGAGGCGCGAAAGCGUGGGGAGCAAAAAG
rnacentral:rRNA from 1 species